UUUGAUUGGGUAAAGGCUUUUUAAGUCGGUUAGGGAGUGGCCUGUGUCCUAUCAGCUUGUUGGUGAGGUAAUGGCUCACCAAGGCUACGACGGGUAACUGGUCUGAGAGGAUGAUCAGUCACACUGGAAUUGAGAAACGGUCCAGACUCCUACGGGAGGCAGCAGUUAGGAAUCUUCCGCAAUGGGCGAAAGCCUGACGGAGCAAUACCGCGUGGGGGAAGAAAGUCGAAAGAUUGUAAACUCCUUUUCUAUUUUACUAAGUUCUGAAGGAAAUAGGAAUAAGUCACGGCUAAUUACGUGCCAGCAGCCGCGGUAAUACGUAAGUGGCAAGCAUUACUCGGAAUUACUGGGUGUAAAGCGUCUGUAGGUUUUAAUGAAAGUUAAAUAUUAAAUCUUGAAGCUCAACUUUAAGGCUGUAUUUAAAACUACAUUAAUUGAGAAUGUUAGAGGCAAGUGGAAUUCUGCAAGUAGGGAUUAAAUCCGUAGAUAUGCAGAGGAACACCAAAAGCGAAAGCAACUUGCUGGGGCAUUUCUGACACUGAGAGACGAAAGCGUGGGGAGCGAAAAGGAUUAGAUACCCUUGUAGUCCACGCCCUAAACGAUGGAUACUCGAUAUUGCUAUUUGAUUAGUUCGAUGGCAGUGUCCUAGCUAACGCGUUAAGUAUCCCACCUGGGGACUACGGUCGCAAGAUUAAAACUCAAAGGAAUUGGCGGGGGCUCACACAAGCGGUGGAGUAUGGCGUUUAAUUCGAUAAUAAGCGAAGAAUCUCACCUAGGCUUGACAUCCUUGGAAUUCUCUGGAAACAGAGAAGUGCUUUUUAAGAACCAAGUGACAGGCGCUGCAUGGUUGUCGUCAGCUCGUGUCGUGAGAUGUAUGGUUAGGUCCUAGAACGAGCGCAACCCUCAUUUUAUGUUGUAUAUUUCAUAAAAGACUGCCUUGGUUAACAGGGAGGAAGGAGAGGAUGACGCCAAAUCAGCAUGGCCCUUAUGCCUAGGGCUACAGUUGUACUACAAUGGUUGGCACAAUGAGGAGCAAAAUCGCGAGAUGGAGCAAAUCUUUAAAACCAAUCUCAGUCCGGAUUGAAGGCUGGAAUUCGCCUUCAUGAAGUUGGAAUCGCUAGUAAAUGCGGAUCGGCAAUGUCGCAUUGAAUUUGUUCCUGAGCCUUGCACACACCGCCCGUCACACCAUGGAAGUUAGUAGUAUUUUAAGUAUUAUUAUAUAGUACCACGGUAAGACUAAUGACUGGGGUGAAGUCGUAACAAGGUA
rnacentral:rRNA from 1 species